UCUAGAGUAUUCAUGGGUUCUGGAGACUAAGAUGUGGACAUCCUUGGGGGACCGUGGUUCUACCUACUGCAGAUAGUUAAGUGGUUCAUUCAAGGCCACACCGUCACUGAGUGGAAACCUCAGAUUCCAGCCUCCGAGGUCUCGCUCAGCCUCUGAUCUCCAGCUCCUCCCACCCCCUGUGCCAGAACUCAGCUGGGCUUUGGGGACACAUCAGAGUGCACUCUGUCUCAGGUUCUGUAGCUGUAACCCCUUGGCUCUCUUAGAGCAAGAUUGUACAUUGUGGACACAAAAAGUUCAAGAUCCAAAGGAUGGAAAUAAACUGAGCUGGAGUGCAUGCAGGAAGGAAGCAUACUUCUGUGGGAAAAUGGAGAGAACGUUUAGAGACGUGGGCAAGACGGGUGGGGGGUGUUGAAGAGUGGGCCCUGAAGAUUGGGACAGUAAUUAAAGUUCACAGGGGACUCUGCCUGGACCCAGUCCCUUUGUGUGGACUUUGACUGUUGACCUCUGCAAAGCCUGAGUGCUGGCACUGUUACUUUCACUUGCUUUGAGUGUGCCCUCGUGCGCACGGUUGUGCCUGCUUUGGAGAUGGACGCUUACCCCCCCACCCGAGAGAGUCAGCUCCAGGCCUCCGUGGCUGCUGCACAGAGCCACUGGCUGUUCUAGGCUGAGGCACUUUCUGGGGUCUUCUGCAGGCCCCAUGACAGUACUGGUGACAGGCCCAAGGACAUGGGUAGGCUUGGUGUCGCCCUUCCUGGUUCCUGACCAGGCACCCACUGCUGACUCACACGGUUAAACUCUGAACUGGGACCAGGUGGUGACUUGUGGACGUUAAACUGCCCGAACCUCAGUCUCACAAGUGUAAACACGGGGGCAGUUAACGCGCCGUACUUGGAGCUGCCCCAAGGUUAGUGGAGAGGAGCAGGAGCCUUCGUUGUGACUGCACCACACACGAGCAAGUCUUGUUGCCUGAGCAGUACCCAGCGAUGGAGCGGGAGCUUCCUCACGCCCCUGGAUGUGUCCAGCUGGGCUGCAGACAGUGGACCUCAGGAACAAGAGGAACAACAUUCUAACAAAGCACUCAGAAGUCACCAGUGCAAACGAGCUCUGUCUCGGGCAUGAUCGCUCUGUC
rnacentral:lncRNA from 1 species